ACAAUAUUACCGAAGUGCCAGAUUUUUCGUUUACUCAUCUGCCACAAUUAAAAGAAUUAGAUUUGGGAAGUAACAGCUUAACUUACCUUUCACCAAAUGUUUUCAACGGACUGUUGCAGCUGAAGAUAUUGUCUUUACAAGACGGUAAAUUGGAUAAUGUACCAUCAGAGGCCUUGCUCUCGGUCCCAGCGUUAGAAACGCUCAAUCUUAAUUCAAAUCAAAUCAGCCAGGUUCCGAAAGGAAGUCUUGGAGGUGUGCGGAAGUUACAAAGGUUAUGGUUGAACGGAAAUCACCUGACGGAAGUUCCAGUAGCAGCUUUGUCCGAGUUGGUACAGCUUCAAUGUUUGAGCCUGGCUGAUAAUAAAAUUGAAACAGUUCCUGAUCUUGCUUUCAUUAAUCAGACAAAACUUCUUAUCCUGUGA